rnacentral:misc_RNA from 1 species
UCCGAGUUGACCCCGGCAGUCUCCCAUGAGUCCCCGGCAUCACCCGCUGGCAACAUAGGACAAGGGUUGCGCUCGUUGCGGGACUUAACCCAACAUCUCACGACACGAGCUGACGACAACCAUGCACCACCUGUAUAGGACGCCGAAGCACACCACAUCUCUGUGGUUUUUCCCUAUAUUUCAAGCCCUGGUAAGGUUCUUCGCGUUGCGUCGAAUUAAGCCACAUGCUCCGCCGCUUGUGCGGGCCCCCGUCAAUUCCUUUGAGUUUUAGCCUUGCGGCCGUACUCCCCAGGCGGGGCACUUAAUGCGUUAGCUACGGCACGGAAUCCGUUGGCUAGAUCCUACACCUAGUGCCCAACGUUUACGGCGUGGACUAC